AUGGCGUCGUCGCUGGACGCGCCCAACCUCGACGAUUACCUCACCGCGGACUCGCUCCCGCAGGAACCCCCGAGGAGUCUCACCCUGCGCGAUCUGCUGGACAUCUCGCCAGUGCUCACCGAGGCCGCGGGCGCCAUCGUCGAUGAUUCAUUCACACGUUGCUUUAAGUCAAAUUCUCCGGAGCCAUGGAACUGGAACAUCUAUUUGUUCCCAUUAUGGUGCUUGGGAGCAGUCAUAAGAUAUGGACUACUGUUUCCGCUAAGGUUCUUAACACUUAUACUAGGAUGGAUGGCCUUCUUUACUGCCUUUUUUCCUGUGCGUUUCCUAAUGAACGGGAAAAAUAGGCUAAAAAGUAAAAUAGAGAGAAAGCUGGUUGAAAUGAUGUGCAGUGUUUUUGUUGCUUCUUGGACUGGAGUGAUCAAGUACCAUGGACCACGCCCAAGCUCACGCCCUUAUCAGGUAUUUGUUGCAAACCAUACAUCGAUGAUAGAUUUUAUUAUUCUGGAGCAGAUGACAGCAUUUGCUGUCAUCAUGCAAAAGCAUCCUGGAUGGGUUGGAUUUAUUCAGAAGACUAUUCUGGAAAGUGUGGGUUGCAUCUGGUUUAACCGUAAUGAUCUCAAGGAUCGUGAAGUAGUUGGAAGAAAGUUACGUGAUCAUGUUCAGCAUCCAGACAACAAUCCUCUCUUGAUUUUCCCAGAAGGAACUUGUGUUAAUAAUCAGUACACUGUGAUGUUCAAGAAGGGUGCUUUUGAGCUUGGCUGUGCUGUAUGUCCAAUAGCUAUCAAAUAUAAUAAAAUAUUUGUUGACGCCUUCUGGAAUAGUAAGAAGCAAUCUUUUACAAUGCAUUUGGUUCGUCUUAUGACAUCAUGGGCUGUUGUUUGUGAUGUUUGGUUCUUGGAACCUCAGUAUCUCAGGGAAGGGGAGACAGCGAUAGAAUUUACUGAAAGAGUGAGGGAUAUGAUAGCUGCUCGGGCUGGUCUUAAGAAGGUUCCAUGGGAUGGCUAUCUGAAACAUAACCGCCCUAGCCCCAAACAUACCGAGGAAAAGCAGCGCAUGUUUGCUGAAUCUGUGCUGAGGAGACUAGAGGAAAACUAA
rnacentral:rRNA from 1 species